GAGUUUGAUCGUGGCUCAGAUUGAACGCUGGCGGCAUGCCUUACACAUGCAAGUCGAACGGUAACAGGUCUUCGGAUGCUGACGAGUGGCGAACGGGUGAGUAAUACAUCGGAACGUGCCCAGACGUGGGGGAUAACGAGGCGAAAGACUUUGCUAAUACCGCAUACGAUCUAAGGAUGAAGCAGGGACCGCAAGGCCUUGCGCGUUUGGAGCGGCCGAUGGCAGAUUAGGUAGUUGGUGGGAUAAAAGACUUACCAAGCCGACGAUCUGUAGCUGGUCUGAGAGGACGACCAGCCACACUGGGACUGAGACACGGCCCAGACUCCUACGGGAGGCAGCAGUGGGGAAUUUUGGACAAUGGGCGAAAGCCUGAUCCAGCAAUGCCGCGUGCAGGAUGAAGGCCUUCGGUUGGUAAC
rnacentral:rRNA from 1 species